UAGCAUCGCUGGGAGUUGUAGUCCCCGUAGUCCAGGAGCGUGCGUGAGUGCGUGCGUUCGGAGCCCCGGACCUUCCCCUGCCCAUCCCGGCUUCGGCUUUGAAACUCAGCAAAGAAGUGGAACCCAUUGAAAACCAUCUGUAGAGGUGACCACCGACUCCUGAAAUCAGUGGCUUUAGAGCACUAUCAAGACCAGUUGAUCUUCACAACAACUGUGAGAGGUAGAUAUUAUUACUGUACUCGUUUUACGGUUGAAGAAACUGGGGCGGAAAUUAAGGGAUUGCCCUACGAUCUCAAAGCUAGUAAGUAUCUGAGACAGAAUUUGAACUCUUUUCUUUCUGACUGCUUUGCACCAUGACACUAGUGACUUCUGGGCUAAGAGGAUCUAAUUUAAUUUGCUCAUUUUAUAGAUGAUAAAACUGAGGCUCAGAGAGAUUAGUGAAAGGUCAUAUAAUUGUUUCUCAACCAAUUAAUAGUGAAAUGUAGCAAAUUUUUGUUCAUUGAAGUAAUUUAAUUCAAAAUUUAAAAUCAGCAGCAACAACAACAGUAAAGGAUUUGGGUAGAGUAUACCCCCCCCCCCAGUAAAGGGAUUGGGCAUAUUACCAACUCUGUCCCACCUCAUGGAUUCCAUGUUUAGUUUUGUUAAAAUACUUCUUUCCUUCAUUAUUUUUGAACUUUUUUCACAGAGGACAACUCUGAG